rnacentral:rRNA from 1 species
UACGUAGGGUGCAAGCGUUGUCCGGAUUUAUUGGGCGUAAAGAGCUCGUAGGCGGUUUGGCAAGUCGGGUGUGAAAACUUCAGGCUCAACCUGGAGAUGCCACCCGAGACUGCUAUGACUUGAGUCUGGUAGGGGAGCACGGAAUUCCUGGUGUAGCGGUGAAAUGCGCAGAUAUCAGGAGGAACACCGGUGGCGAAGGCGGCAUCCUGGACCGGUAUUGACGCUGAGGCGACGGAAAGCCCAGGGGAGCAAACGGG